rnacentral:piRNA from 1 species
UGGGAACGAGAAGAUACUCGUGGAGGCGUC